UCUACGGGAGGCAGCAGUGGGGAAUAUUGCACAAUGGGCGCAAGCCUGAUGCAGCCAUGCCGCGUGUAUGAAGAAGGCCUUCGGGUUGUAAAGUAGUUUCAGCGGGGAGGAAGGCGACAAGGUUAAUAACCUUGUCGAUUGACGUUACCCGCAGAAGAAGCACCGGCUAACUCCGUGCCAGCAGCCGCGGUAAUA
rnacentral:rRNA from 1 species